CCGGCUCCUGGGGCGCCCCGGGGGGGGCCGGGAGGAUCCGCCGCCAUCCUGGCCCCGGGCAGGGGGCCCCGGCUCGGGCGGGGGCGGGCCUGGCAGCGGGGAGCCGGGGGACGGGGACGGGGACGGGCGCGUCGCCCUGAGCCGGAGCGGGGUGGGAGCUAGAUUCCGGUUGUGCUAGGCGCUGCACAGGCGUACAACGAGGAGACCCCCGCCCUGGCCGGCGCCGGGACUCGUCCCGGUUCCAGGAUCCCGCCCCGGAGCCGGGACCCAGCUCAUCCAGCCGAGGGGCCGGCCGGAGACACCUGCCAUCGCCUGGGGCCGGCUCCACACGGGUCUAUACCCCAAGGCAGUGGGGUCUAGUGGCUCGCUGACGUCUCUGCAGGGUGCCCUCGGCAAGGAGUUCCCAUAAUGACGGGGCACUGCGUUCCUGGGAAACCGAUUCCUCGCGCCAAACCUGCAUGGUGCCAGCCUGCCUUGCAAGGUGUGGGGGCGGGGGUCACUCACCCUGCUGCUGAAAUGCAGCCACCUCUGGGGUGGAACACAGCGGAGAGGACGUUGCCGCAGACCCCGCUGCAUGGGUGCUGAACUCCCAGGAAGCAGACGGGGCAGUAGGAAUACGAGAGCGGCAUUGGUCGCCGGUUCACAGCGGCGAGCAACUUUGUCUGGCUCUCUGGACCCGGCUGGCAGGAGCCUCGGGAGACCCGGAAGGCAGCUGCAGUUGAGACAGCCAGGAACGAAUGGAUGGCCGGGGGGGGGGGAAGAGGUGCAAUAAAAGCCCUGACCACUGGGUGGUGCCCUCAUUCUGUGCACAGGUCAGCCAGAGAUAAUGGCUAGGAAGUGGGGGGAAGGUAGGAUACCCCCCACCAGCUGCUGUCUUUGCUGCAGGCCUGCAGAGGGGCAGUUGCGAUAAAAGCACUGGCCUCUGGGUGACACCCUUGGUGUGCAGUGUUGAGCUGGGAAUUCACUGCUAGGAGAGGUGAUUAUUCUCCGCCCCAUGGCUCCCACCCCCCACGGGGGAUCCCAGCCAGAUUCACCCUUACCCUCCAUAUUGGGCCCUCUCCAGCCAGUUUCCCCUCAUCUGUGUUCCCCCCCGCCCAGCCCAAUUCCCCCCAUAUACACAGUCAGCCCCCCUCCACACAGGUCCCCAUUAGAGCCACAUUCCUCUCAAACUCCUCCUCAUGUAUGGGGGACCAGUAGGGCCCUCUGCCUCAGUUUCCCCUCUAAAAUGGGGAUAAUGUCCCUGCCCUCCCUCGUAAAGUGCUGUGAGAGCACUGGAUGGGAGUGUGGGAUCCUCCCCGCAAUCUCCUGUUCACACAGACCCUUCACGGGGGACAGGACCGUGUUGAUCAGUGCAGCAUCGGGGGCCUUCCUAGCCCUGGCCACCUAGUCCUGUGCCCACCUGAGCCCCUGCCUGGCCUCACCCAGGCAACUCUGCAGUGCCCCCAGCACCGCCAGGCAUUCCCCACAGGCUCCUGGUCCCAGCCCAGCCGUACAUCCAGCUGGCUCCGUUUCUUCUCCUUCCCUUCGCCCCCCUCCAGGUGGUUGGCAACUCCCUCCUGCUGGCUGCAACCUGUACCCCAGCUGCCAUCUCCUGGGCACGGGGGUGGGUCUAGAUCUCCCCACAGGGGGCCAGGUUGGGGCAGAGUAGCCACUGGGCCAAUUGUAACAAGAGCAAUAUUAUAGUGGGUAUGACAACACCCAUUGUUUCAUGUUCUCUGUGUAUAUAGAUCUUCCUACUGUAUUUUCCACUGCAUGCAUCUGAUGAAGUGGGUUUUAGCCCACAAAAGUUUAUGCCCAAAUAAAUUUGUUAGUCUCUAA